rnacentral:tRNA from 2 species
GGGGGUGUAGCGCAGCUUGGCAGCGCGCUUCGUUCGGGACGAAGAGGUCGUGGGUUCAAAUCCCGCCACCCCGA